rnacentral:pre_miRNA from 7 species
AGCUCUGCUAUUGAAAGAUUCUCGAAUUCCCGGCCAAUGCACCAAAUGAAAGACCCCCGAAGGGAGACCCUUACUCAGACACUUAAGUCCCGGGACAGCCGCGUACCCAAGAAGACACUGAGACCA